AUUCUACUCCAUCCGUUCGGAAUUAGUUGUCGCGAAAAUGGAUGUAUCUAGAACUAAAAUAUGUCUAGAUACAUUCAUUUCUGCGACAAGUAAUUCCGAACGGAGGGAGUAGAUG
rfam:Triticum aestivum genome assembly, contig: Triticum_aestivum_CS42_TGACv1_scaffold_433368_5DL